CCACAUUAUAGGGCUAUAACAUGCUAUGAUAAACUUGUACAACUUACAUUGGAAUUGUCUAUAGGAUGACACAAGUGGCUUUAGCAAGCACAUACGACAUCGGUGCCCUAUGGCACCCAGAAGCUAUAUGGUACGAUGCUGUAGUUAGUUAUCCAUCCACUGACCCAUACUAAACUUAUGAUUGAAAGGCAAAGUUUACUUAAUUACAUAGGGUUACAUAUACUGAAAGCUUUACCACAGGCUUAGUUAGACACAAUCUGACCGCAUAGUGACAUAUUAGGCCCCAUCUUGAACUCAGCCGACGCAGAGAAAAAAAAAGAAAAAAGAAAGGAAAACAUAUUUCAAGUGUACCACAUUAUAGGGCUAUAACAUGCUAUGAUAAACUUGUACACAUAACUACUCAUGUUUUUCCAUAACAAAUGCACGGUUUACGUUAUAUCCCCUGCGUGGGAAAACUGCUUCUUGUGUUGAC